GAUGAAGACACGGGGUUGGGGGUGGGGCCAGCCCUGAGCAGCAUGUGGGAGAGCUCCAGCGUUCUAAUCUAGCAGAUUAGAAGAUUUGCUGGCCCAAAUUUUCCCUGGGAAAUAUCCUUUAAAUGAAUUACAUCUUUGGGAUCUAAUGGACUGUCCACAUCUAAAGCACCAUGGGGAAUAGAAGAAAACAACAUUUCAACAUGAAAUAAUAUUAUUCAGAUGGCAGGACAUAAUAACCCACACACCUUUAACUCAGCACUGGGGAGACAGAGGCAGAAUCAUCAGUAGGGAAGUGUAGGCAUAGACAGUUCCAGAACAGUCAGGGAUAUGGAGAGAGACUCUCUCAAAAAUACACAAAUAUUAUUAAGAUCAUGCCACAUUUGGAUUGGCUAGAUCUUCUGGCUUAGUAGUGCCCAUCUAUAAUCCAAAUACACAAGAAGCUGAGGCAGGAGGACCAACAGUUCAGAAAGACAACUUGAUAUUAUAAAGUGAGACCCUGUCCUGCUCUGACAUUGUUCCCAUGGAUGGAUCUGCAUGUCUCUGACAUCGAAAUGCACACAGAGUCUGGGGAGCAGCUGCCUGGCGGAUGUGCUGGUCUUAGGAGAUGCCUGUGAAAAGAUCAUUCGACAACACCCCCCCCCGCGCGUGCACCCCCUUCCUUUCAGCAGGAAGAGAAUUCCUUCUGAUCACUGAUUUACAACAUCAUGAAUGCCUUAAGGACAACCCCACUGCCCACAGGGACCUGAACACCCAGUAUUCCAGGCGAUGAGAGAACUCACAGGCACUACGUGUGGAAUCCAGUGUUGGUAGUAUCCUGUGAGAUUUAUGAGAUGCAUCUGGGCAAAUGCCAUAUCCUCUGAGGGAGGGGUAUGGAGCACAGCCACCCUCCGUUCUCGCAAGCCUCUUCCAGCUCCUCCUCCUAUGAGCAGCAGAGCAGGCAGUUUCCUGUUGUUUCCACAGAGAAGGACCAGUGUUCAUGUUGUCUUCUUCAUCGUCUCUCUGAUCUCUUCCUAUGCACCUUCCAUCAGCACCCAAGAUUUUCAGGAGGUUUCCCAUGGUCAAAUCUAAUUUUUACUAAGUUUGAAAGAUCCAUAGCUUUUCAUUUCCUGUGGAAACAAAGGCAUAGUCUCUUCCCCAACACAACACAGUUCCUGACUUCCGUUGUGAGGUUAACACUCUCUUCCCCGACACAACGCAGUUCCUGACUUCCGUUGUGAGGUUAACACUCUCUUCCCCGACACAACGCAGUUCUUGACUUCCGUUGUGAGGCUAACACAUCCUAAAGCAUGUAGGUUGAUCUAACGUAGCAUUCCUUUCUAAAAUCGAGUGCUUUUCAGCAGCUGUGCUACCUGACUCACCAACAUUUAAAAGAUUUAGUGUUAAUAAAGCAUUGUGUACUCUA